rnacentral:rRNA from 1 species
UACGUAGGGUGCAAGCGUUGUCCGGAAUUAUUGGGCGUAAAGAGCUCGUAGGCGGUCUGUCGCGUCGAAUGUGAAAACCCGGGGCUCAACCCCGGGCCUGCAUUCGAUACUGUCGAGCUAGAGUAUGGUAGAGGAAAGCGGAAUUCCACAUGUAGCGGUGAAAUGCGUAGAUAUGUGGAGGAACAUCAGUGGCGAAGGCGGCUUUCUGGACUAAUACUGACGCUGAGGUGCGAAAGCGUGGGGAGCAAACAGG